AUUGAACGCUGGCGGCAGGCCUAACACAUGCAAGUCGAGCGGAUGACAGGAGCUUGCUCCUUGAUUCAGCGGCGGACGGGUGAGUAAUGCCUAGGAAUCUGCCUGGUAGUGGGGGACAACGUUUCGAAAGGAACGCUAAUACCGCAUACGUCCUACGGGAGAAAGCAGGGGACCUUCGGGCCUUGCGCUAUCAGAUGAGCCUAGGUCGGAUUAGCUAGUAGGUGAGGUAAUGGCUCACCUAGGCGACGAUCCGUAACUGGUCUGAGAGGAUGAUCAGUCACACUGGAACUGAGACACGGUCCAGACUCCUACGGGAGGCAGCAGUGGGGAAUAUUGGACAAUGGGCGAAAGCCUGAUCCAGCCAUGCCGCGUGUGUGAAGAAGGUCUUCGGAUUGUAAAGCACUUUAAGUUGGGAGGAAGGGCAGUAAGCUAAUACCUUGCUGUUUUGACGUUACCGACAGAAUAAGCACUGGCUAACUCUGUGCCAGCCGCCGCCGUAAUAC
rnacentral:rRNA from 1 species